GAUGAACGCUGGCGGCGUGCCUAAUACAUGCAAGUCGAGCGAAUGGAUUAAGAGCUUGCUCUUAUGAAGUUAGCGGCGGACGGGUGAGUAACACGUGGGUAACCUGCCCAUAAGACUGGGAUAACUCCGGGAAACCGGGGCUAAUACCGGAUAACAUUUUGAACCGCAUGGUUCGAAAUUGAAAGGCGGCUUCGGCUGUCACUUAUGGAUGGACCCGCGUCGCAUUAGCUAGUUGGUGAGGUAACGGCUCACCAAGGCAACGAUGCGUAGCCGACCUGAGAGGGUGAUCGGCCACACUGGGACUGAGACCCGGCCCAGGCUCCUACGGGAGGCAGCAGUAGGGAAUCUUCCGCAAUGGACGAAAGUCUGACGGAGCAACGCCGCGUGAGUGAUGAAGGCUUUCGGGUCGUAAAACUCUGUUGUUAGGGAAGAACAAGUGCUAGUUGAAUAAGCUGGCACCUUGACGGUACCUAACCAGAAAGCCACGGCUAACUACGUGCCAGCCGCCGCGGUAA
rnacentral:rRNA from 1 species